UGGGGAAUAUUGCACAAUGGGCGCAAGCCUGAUGCAGCCAUGCCGCGUGUGUGAAGAAGGCCUUCGGGUUGUAAAGCACUUUCAGCGAGGAGGAAGGUGGUGAGCUUAAUACGCUCAUCAAUUGACGUUACUCGCAGAAGAAGCACCGGCUAACUCCGUGCCAGCAGCCGCGGUAAUACGGAGGGUGCAAGCGUUAAUCGGAAUUACUGGGCGUAAAGCGCACGCAGGCGGUUUGUUAAGUCAGAUGUGAAAUCCCCGGGCUCAACCUGGGAACUGCAUUUGAAACUGGCAAGCUAGAGUCUCGUAGAGGGGGGUAGAAUUCCAGGUGUAGCGGUGAAAUGCGUAGAGAUCUGGAGGAAUACCGGUGGCGAAGGCGGCCCCCUGGACGAAGACUGACGCUCAGGUGCGAAAGCGUGGGGCAGCAAACAGGAUUAGAUACCCUGGUAGUCCAGCGCUGUAAAACGAUGUCGAUUUUGGAGGUUGUGCCCCUUGAGGCGUGGCUUCCGGAGCUAACGCGUUAAAUCGACCG
rnacentral:rRNA from 1 species